rnacentral:rRNA from 1 species
UACGGGGGGGGCAAGCGUUGUUCGGAAUUACUGGGCGUAAAGGGCUCGUAGGUGGCCAACUAAGUCACACGUGAAAUCCCUCGGCUUAACCGGGGAACUGCGUGUGAUACUGGAUGGCUUGAGUUUGGGAGAGGGAUGCGGAAUUCCAGGUGUAGCGGUGAAAUGCGUAGAUAUCAGGAGGAACACCGGUGGCGAAGGCGGGUCUCUGGGCAGUAACUGACGCUGAGGAGCGAAAGCGUGGGGAGCGAACAGG